AUGGUGAGGCGAAGCAGGAGGCAGAUUCCCCCAAGAAGGUUGCAGGACAGCGUGAUCAACAUACAGCUACCGAGGAGGAAGAAAACAGAAACAGUUAAGCAAAAAACUAGUGCUGAGAAAUCCCCCUCUCCCCCCCUCCCUGGUUCUGCUGCUUCCUCCCCUUGUCCCUCUCAGUCUUCCCGGUCCUCUGCUGGCAUGCCUGUUUUCUCCCCCUGUAGCUCCCCUGCUUUGUUCUCAUCCCCUUCCGGUACCCCCUCUCCUGUAGGCCCGGCAAAUAGGCGCAGACAAUCUCCCGCCCCCCAUCGUGGACCGCCUCAUACUGACAUGCUGCAGGGAUCUUACCCUGAUCCUCCGGGCCUCCAUAGGGCCCCUAGCAAUUAUUUGGCAACCGUUUUUCCCUCUGACCCACUCGGUCUUUGCCAGCAUGCUGCCCCGCCUGCUCCAUCCUGCCCGGCUAUCUCAUGCCCCCCUGCCUCUCUCCACCUUUCCUUUCCCGCGUGCCGCAGCGCCCCUGACCCGCGCACCCACCCUCCAACCUCUUUGCAGGCGCAAGCGGCGCUUGAGGCCCCGGGGAUACUUAAGGCCUUUGAGGCAUUCAGGCCGGAUGCGAAGGCGACGACUCCCAGGCUGGAAAACAACCGGAAGCGGACGCGCGCGUCACUUCCGGUUCCGGCCAGUGCAGCAGAUGGGGGUAGCAGCCGCAGGGGAGCGGAGGACAGUGUGGACACCUCCGUUCCCCCCCCUAGAAAACGAGCAGUAUUGGAGACAGAAGGCCCAGAUAGGGGCCCAUCUAGUGGUAAAAGGCACCGGAAGCGUGCACGGCCUGCGCUUCCGGUUACUAGGGCAAAACAGCCCACAAGCGUUCCCUCCUCCGGCCACUGCAGCCCCCCCCUUGUAAACAAAAUAAAGGCACAUAGUGUGAAACACAACAAUAGGGGCCAGGGCCACCGACACAGUAGCCCCCCCUGCACACUACCCAAUAAACUUUUAGAAUGCUCAGAUAAGCCCAGGGGCCCUAGCCAUCGCCCCAGCAGCCACAUUGAGGGAGAAAAAACAAGGCAGCACCAUUACCCCUAUAAGUCCAGGGACCAGGGGCUCCUUCCAUACAGUAUGGAAGCAUUAGCGCCCCACAUGCCUCCCCGCCCCACUCUCCAUCACAUGCAUGGCCUUUCCUCCGCUUCAGGUAACCGGGCAGGGGAAUAUAGCCAUCAUAGUCGCCCCUCCACCCGCCAAUAUAAUCAGCAAAUGGUGGAUUAUAACGCCAUAGGGGCCACCUCACCGUUCCAGCAUGCCGGUGCCUAUUACCACACACCCCGCAGGUCCCCCCUCCCUCAGGGUGCCCCCAUCCCUCCUCCAUACCCCACCCCCAGGGCCUUCCCCCCCCUUCCUGCCUGCCCCCCUCCCCCCUCAGCAGCCCAGCACUUCGGCAGCCAGCAUAGAAAGUGGUUCGCUCCAAAGGUGGCGCAAGUGCAAUUUGGAACGGCACAGGAGGAUCACGAGCAACAGCACACGGAAGGAGGCACCCAGGAGACAGUACGCAGGGAUCAGACGGAAGUUACCAAGGGCCUGAGUGAGUACAAUGAAAUAUGUGAUUUAAGUAGACAUAAUUCCUCAUCGGACUCGGAUUCAAACAGUUCUGAAUCCGGCUCCGAUUCAGAGGGGGAGGGGGAAAAACGGUCCAAAUAUGAUAAGAUUCUUAGGUUACUGCACAAGAUGAACAAGAAAACCAAGCACAGUUCAGUGAAUAAACAUGGGGCCUCGGUAGGGGCAUACGCAGACAACACAGCAGUAACACACGGCAAUACAAGGGAAACGGACGGGAAUAGUUAUAACGCAGCAGAGUGGGCAGGGGUCCCAUGUGAGCUUGACCCCUUAUGGGAUCAUUUGAAGCAGAAAACAAUUAGGAAAGCAAGGUUAGGGCGGUACAUAGAUGUGUUCCAGCUAACCAAAGAGGCAGUGAAGGACAAGGAUAAAAAAGGUGAAGGAUACCAGAAAAAGCACGACACACCAAGGAGAGACAUAGUGCAAUGGAUGAAAGGUUUUCUAAUAUAUGCCGCAUGCUAUUUGACAGAUAGACCCACACAAGGGGAGAGUCUAGCUAGGUAUAUGCACACCAUAUUAGAGGUAUACACAACUUUUGGGGGUCAGGCAUGGAGGGAUUACGACACAGAGUUUAGAAAAAAACUAGGAAAGUCUAACACAAAAUAUUUUGGGAGGAAGGAGCUAGACAUGUGGACCAGACUGGUUAAACCGGACGGGAACCAUGGGCAGAAGGGGACCUAUUAUGGUAACAGUUCGGGAAAACACACGACGGAGGUGGGUAAUAAAAGGUUAUGUUGGGCAUACAAUGACAAGAAAUGUGACAGGCAGAAUUGCAACUUCAAACACGCUUGCAGGUAUUGUAAGGGAGGUCACCCAGGGGCAGACUGUAAUAGAAAUGCCAGGCGGCCCUUUCGGACCGCAAAUGGUAACGGUGGAAAUCCGUCCCAAAAUAAUUAGCCCCAUACAGCAAUACACCCCGCUGAAUAUCCCUAUAAUCUUAAAACUGCUGAGAAGCCACAAUAAUAAACCAAGAGCCGCCUUUCUGACAGAGUCAUUUACAAAUGGCUUUAGUAUACCAACACACAAAGAAAUUAAAACAGGAAAAGCACGUAAUCUAAUUUCAGCUUAUCAAUACCCAGAGGUGAUAAGGGAGAAACUGAGAAAAUAGGUAAAGUUGGGGAGGGUGGCCGGACCAUUCACAAGACCACCAUUAGUCAAUAUGGUAAUUUCUCCAGUGGGGUUGGUACCAAAAAAAGAGGAAGGAAAAUUUAGACUCAUUCAUCAUUUGUCCGCACCCAAAGGCACGUCAGUAAAUGACGCCAUAGACGAUCAGUUAUGUUCAGUAAAGUACCAAUCUUUUGACCAGGCAGUACAAAUGAUAAAGAACCUAGGACCAGGAGCAGAACUAGGGAAAAUAGAUAUUGAAGCGGCAUUUAGAUUGCUCCCGUUACAUCCCCAAAGCUAUAGGUUAAUGGGAAUCAAGUUGCAAGGGCAAUAUUACUAUGAUCGUUGUCUGCCAAUGGGCUGUGCAAUAUCUUGCGCAUACUUUGAAGAAUUCAGUUCAUUUAUACAUGACACACUGGCGGGCAGAACAGGGUUAAGCCACAUAGCACACUACUUGGAUGACUUUUUGAUUGCGGGGGAAAGAGGAACCAAUCAGUGCAUUAUGUUAAUGACACAAUUACAAUCCCUGCUUAAACAACUUGGGGUCCCAAUAGCGCAAGAAAAGACAGAGGGGCCAGUAACAUCACUGAUAUUUCUGGGUAUACAAAUAGAUACACUUGAGGAGAAGUGCAGCCUUCCACAAGACAAGUUACAGAAAUUGAGUAAGAUAUUAGAAAAGGCAAACACAUCAAGUUACAUAACACUCAGGGAUAUGCAAGCAUUGCUAGGGCUCCUGAAUUUUACAUGUAAAGUAAUCCCCAUGGGCAGAAUCUUCAAUAGACGCUUAGAGCAAGCUACAGCAGGGAUUAAUAACCCAAGAGAUAACAUCAAAUUGAAUAAGGAAAUGAGGGAAGACAUACAAAUGUGGAAAAAAUUUAUAUCACAGUUUCCAACCAGGUGCUUCAUUUGUUCACAGACGCAGCAGGUGCGCACGGUUUCGGGGCUUAUUUACAAGGGCAAUGGUGCGCAGAGACUUGGCCAAAGAAGUGGGUUGAAAUCGGGGCAACAAAAAAUCUCACACUCUUGGAGCUUUUCCCAAUAGUGGUUGCGGUGGAAAUCUGGCAUCAUCAAUUAAGAGACAAAAGUGUGAGAUUUUGGACAGACAACAUGAGUGUAGUGCAUGCGAUUAACAAUUUGGCCUCCAAAUCAAAGCCAGUCAUUAAACUAUUACGGUUACUGAUACUUAGCUGCAUGCAGAGUAACAUAACAUUUACUGCAGCCCAUGUGCCUGGGGUAAGAAACAUAUUAGCAGAUGCCCUAUCACGGGGUAAGUGGGAGGUGUUCUGGAAAGUGGCACCUAAUGCAGAAAAAAAUAGUACAGCUUGCCCAUGCUAUCUUUGGCAGGUGGUGAAUCCGAAAGCAUCCUUGGGGAUUUGGUAAAACAAUCCCUCGCCCCGAGAACAUGGAACAGUUUCACAAGGUAUUGGGGAGAAUGGGUUUCAUUUCUAAAAAACCGGAGUCAAGGCAAUUCCCUAAUAGCACUCUGCGAAUAUUUGGCAACACAAAAAAGAGAAGGGGUUAAAAAGAGCCUAAUCAAGACAAAAAUGGCAGCAGUGUCAUUCUUUAACCAACUAGGGGGCCAUGGCGAUUACACAAAACGGUUCAUGAUUAAGAAAGUGUUGAAGGGCUGGGAUAGGGAGAUCAAGAAAAAAGACCAAAGGGAACCCAUAACAAAAGAGAGGCUGGAGUUGAUUUUAAAAAAAUGAAAGUAUAUUUGUAAAGACAAAUUUGAAACCAAAUUAUUUAGGGCUUUAUACUCUGUAGCAUUCGCAGGAGCAUUCCGAGUAAAUGAAAUAGUAGCAAAAAACAAAAAAGAUGGUGAAGGGGGAUUAUCAAGCAAGCAGGUGCGAUGGUACAAAGAUUCCAUUCUAGUGUAUGUGAGAAGGUCAAAGACUGACCAGGAGGGAAAAGGGAGUUGGAUAUCCAUCCACAAAGAGGGGGAUAAGGUAACAUGCCCGAUAAGAAAUUUGCAGAAAUAUAUGGCAACUCGCCCCAAAGGGGAGAGCCAGCUGUUUACACAUGCCACCGGAGAACCGGUUUCUAUUUUUCAAUUCAGACAAGUUCUGAAAUCAACAGUACAGAAGCUGGGGUGGGAAGAAGCUAGGUAUAACACGCACUCCUUUAGAAUAGGAGCAGCGACAUCAGCAGCGUUAAGUGGGGCAUCGGAGGAGCAGAUUAAGAAACUAGGCAGGUGGAGGUCUAGCUGUUUUAAAGAGUAUAUAAGACCUUUAAAAAAAAAAAAAAAAAAAAAAAAAAAAUCUAAUCAGGGAAAUUUAUGAACUAUGGGUUGGUAUUAAUGAUGCAUUAUUUUCUUUCUUCCACACAGGCGGUGGGGAAAGGGCGGUGAGAGUAUGGAUAGUGGGGCACUCGUACAUACACUGGGCGGCAGUUAAGGCGGCAAAGGACAACUACCAACAAUUGGGCUUCCCUCUCUGUGAGGCAUCAAUAAGAUGGUUAGGAAGGAGAGGCAUGAGAUGGGAACACCUUACGCAAGCGAUUAAUCAGGCGGCGGCAAGUUAUCCAAGCAUAACAACGGUCACGGAAGGCAAUGAGUCCAGCUGAAGAAGAAAAGUGUCGUGCUAGUCGGUCGACAUGAAAAUGGCAAAAUAUAUUGUUAGUUAAUUAUGUCCUGGCUAUCCCCAUCUGUCAGGUAGCGUUCCAAACGGGCGUAACUGUAGUUGGUGGAAUGGCAAACCCCUGGGGCGGUAAUUUGCGGCCAGUAUGGGUGCACGGUUUGACCGAGUGACGCACAGGGCGUAAGUGGAACUAGGCCUACGACCCCGACGGGCGAGCCGGUAAGAGUUUUUCCACUUGCGCAAUGCUGCGUGGGUGCGGUGUAAGUUAAGCACUUCAAAGGCUGGCUGGGGGAGCGCGGGCUCCCCCCCAUGGUUGAGAACAAUUUGGUGUUAAUUGUCAAGUCCGCCGCAAUUAAUUGGGGUUUAGUUAGGGGACUCAUUGCCGUUUACUGAUAUGUAUAUAAUAAAGUGACCUUUACAAAUUUGCCACUACAA